rnacentral:rRNA from 1 species
AACCAGCACCUCAAGUGGUCAGGAUGAUUAUUGGGCCUAAAGCAUCCGUAGCCGGCUCUGUAAGUUUUCGGUUAAAUCUGUACGCUUAACGUACAGGCUGCCGGGAAUACUGCAGAGCUAGGUAGUGGGAGAGGUAGACGGUACUCGGUAGGAAGGGGUAAAAUCCUUUGAUCUAUUGAUGACCACCUGUGGCGAAGGCGGUCUACCAGAACACGUACGACGGUGAGGGAUGAAAGCUGGGGGAGCAAACCGGAUUAGAUACCCGGGUAGUCCCAGCUGUAAACUAUGCAAACUCAGUGAUGCAUUGGCUUGUGGCCAAUGCAGUGCUGCAGGGAAGCCGUUAAGUUUGCCGCCUGGGAAGUACGUACGCAAGUAUGAAACUUAAAGGAAUUGGCGGGGGAGCACCACAAGGGGUGAAGCCUGCGGUUCAAUUGGAGUCAACGCCAGAAAUCUUACCCGGAGAGACAGCAGAAUGAAGGUCAAGCUGAAGACUUUACCAGACAAGCUGAGAGGUGGUGCAUGGCCGUCGCCAGCUCGUACCGUGAGAUGUCCUGUUAAGUCAGGUAACGAGCGAGAUCCCUGCCUCUAGUUGCCACCAUUACUCUCAGGAGUAGUGGGGCGAAUUAGCGGGACCGCCGCAGUUAAUGCGGAGGAAGGAAGGGGCCACGGCAGGUCAGUAUGCCCCGAAACUCUGGGGCCACACGCGGGCUGCAAUGGUAACGACAAUGGGUUUCGAAUUCGAAAGGAUGAGGUAAUCCUCAAACGUUACCACAGUUAUGACUGAGGGCUGCAACUCGCCCUCACGAAUAUGGAAUCCCUAGUAACUGCGUGUCACUAUCGCGCGGUGAAUACGUCCCUGCUCCU